rnacentral:rRNA from 1 species
AACGAACGCUGGCGGCGUGGAUAAGACAUGCAAGUCGAACGAGAAACUUUUGGAGCUUGCUUUGGAAGUUUCUAGUGGCGAACGGGUGCGUAACACGUGAGCAACCUGCCCAAAAGAGGGGGAUAGCUCGGGGAAACUCGAAUUAAUACCGCAUGUGGUCUACCAGGACAUCCUGGGACGAUUAAAGGUGGGGAUCUUCGGACCUGCCGCUUUUGGAUGGGCUCGCGGCCUAUCAGCUUGUUGGUGAGGUAAAAGCUCACCAAGGCUACGACGGGUAACUGGUCUGAGAGGAUGAUCAGUCACACUGGAACUGAGACACGGUCCAGACACCUACGGGUGGCAGCAGUCGAGAAUCAUUCGCAAUGGGCGAAAGCCUGACGGUGCGACGCCGCGUGGAGGAUGACGGUCUUCGGAUUUGUAAAACUCCUGUCAUCAGAGAGUAAGGUUUUCCGGUUAAUAGCCGGAGAAAUUGAUAGUAUCUGAAGAGGAAGGGACGG